UACGUAGGGUGCAAGCGUUAAUCGGAAUUACUGGGCGUAAAGCGUGCGCAGGCGGUUAUGCAAGACAGAUGUGAAAUCCCCGGGCUUAACCUGGGAACCGCAUUUGUGACUGCAUAGCUCGAGUAUGGCAGAGGGGGGUGGAAUUCCGCGUGUAGCAGUGAAAUGCGUAGAGAUGCGGAGGAACACCGAUGGCGAAGGCAGCCCCCUGGGCCAAUACUGACGCUCAGGCACGAAAGCGUGGGGAGCAAACAGG
rnacentral:rRNA from 1 species